GUCUUUUACAUUAUUGAUCACACAAAACUGUCAAUCACGGUCAUUCAUAACACUUUUAUUAUUAACUAUUAGGCCGAUUUGAAGGUAAAAAAAUUUGGAUAAGUGGUUAGAGCCCUCACUGUUCACCUCACUGUUGGGAGAGGUUUCCCAAGCCUCCACAGUGUUUUACCCCGUCGAGCUUCACUACAGCAGACAGGCCCGAGGGGUGCUGGAUGUCAUGAGAGAGGCUUGGAAGGACGAGCCUUCUAACAGUAAAAAUGAGCUCCACAACAUUCUGGACCUGCGGGCAAAACUCCACGCUCUGAGGCGGCCCUCGUGGGACAAUUUGUUAAAAAAUUGCCUAGUGGCAAGGACCGUUCAUGGACAUUCGAUGAGUGGGGAGCUUGAUUUUGAUCUGAUGAAGGAAAAUUCAACUUACGCCUCUAUCCAAGGAAUAAAUGAUUUUUACUACACCCUUCGGAUUACACCAGUGCGUUACGCUUACGUUCGGGUUGUUCGAAGCACCGGCUACGUUUCAUUGUUUGAUGGACAAAAUCCUUGCCUGACACUCUGCAUUUGCUGCUGCCUACCUCGAUGGCAUCAUCAUUUUAGUAAUCAUUUUCAGCGGCAUUUGCAGCAUGUGAGGGUGUCCUGACAACACUGAGACGCUCUGAGCUUAUGGCCAGCUCGAAGAAGUGUGCAAUUGUGCGAAUGGAGGUCAGGUAUCUGGGAAUCCGCUUAGUACACAGGCAGGUGCGGCCCCAAAUUGACAAAACUGCAGCAUUUGCAACCCUUUCCAUGACCUAAGACCAAAAAUGAGGUGAGACAGUUCUUGGGGCUGGCGGGAUAUUAUGGGCGUUUUAUUCCUAAUUAUUCGGCCCUCAUCAACAUGUUAACUAAUCUCACCCAAAGGGAGAGCCAGAUACUGUACAUUAGUCAGAGCAGUUCUAACAGGUUUGUGUGCUGCUUGAGCUGAAAAAAAAAAAAAAGAAAUAAAAUGUUUGCGCUUACCUGCAUUGCCGACCCUGCCUUCCUCUUUCAACAUAUCAUAAUACCUCACAACAGUCUAAUAAAUGAUUUGAUCACUAUUUUGAUCUGAAACUUUACUCACAAAAGAUUUAUCUUCUACCUUGUAAAACACCUUGAGGUUGUGACGCUCUUUUUCCUCUGGUGUGUUUGUGUGUUUAGUGUGAGAUCAGGAUCAUGUGUGUCCAGCUCUGUGUCUCUGAAGAGUGACUGGUCAAUAGGUAAACCACCAGACCUCAGAGAGGAAACACCAUCAUCUGCCAAAAGUGUGAGAUCAGGAUCAUGUGUGUCCAGCUCUGUGUCUUUGAAGAGUGACUGGUUAAUAGGUAAACCACCAGACCUCAGAGAGAAAACACCAUCAUCUGCCAAAAGUGUGAGAUCAGGAUCAUGUGUGUCCAGCUCUGUGUCUUUGAAGAGUGACUGGUCAAAAGGUAAACCACCAGACCUCAGAGAGAAAACACCAUCAUCUGCCAAAAGUGUGGAUGGAGAUGAUCAGACUGGAGACCUGCAGCA